rnacentral:rRNA from 1 species
UUUAUUGUUGAGUACUUCCGCUCAGGACGAACGCUGGCGGCGUGCCUAAUACAUGCAAGUCGAGCGCAGGAAACUGACGGAACUCUUCGGAGGGAAGGCAGUGGAAUGAGCGGCGGACGGGUGAGUAACACGUAAGGAACCUGCCUCAAGGAUUGGGAUAACUCCGAGAAAUCGGAGCUAAUACCGGAUAGUUCAUCGGACCGCAUGGUCCGUUGAUGAAAGGCGCUUCGGCGUCACCUUGAGAUGGCCUUGCGGUGCAUUAGCUAGUUGGUGGGGUAACGGCCCACCAAGGCGACGAUGCAUAGCCGACCUGAGAGGGUGAUCGGCCACACUGGGACUGAGACACGGCCCAGACUCCUACGGGAGGCAGCAGUAGGGAAUCUUCCACAAUGGACGAAAGUCUGAUGGAGCAACGCCGCGUGAGUGAUGAAGGUUUUCGGAUCGUAAAACUCUGUUGUAAGGGAAGAACACGUACGAGAGGAAAUGCUCGUACCUUGACGGUACCUUACGAGAAAGCCACGGCUAACUACGUGCCAGCAGCCGCGGUAAUACGUAGGUGGCAAGCGUUGUCCGGAAUUAUUGGGCGUAAAGCGCGCGCAGGCGGCCUUUUAAGUCUGAUGUGAAAGCCCCCGGCUCAACCGGGGAGGGCCAUUGGAAACUGGAAGGCUUGAGUACAGAAGAGAAGAGUGGAAUUCCACGUGUAGCGGUGAAAUGCGUAGAGAUGUGGAGGAACACCAGUGGCGAAGGCGACUCUUUGGUCUGUAACUGACGCUGAGGCGCGAAAGCCGUGGC